rnacentral:sRNA from 1 species
UUAAAAACGUUGAAAACUAAUCGCGCCUCGGUAUCCCGUCUUUAAUUGGUCCGUAAACUUUGUAGUGUUUGAAAUUUGACAAUAUUUUCACGUA